UCAAACGAAGGAAUUCGACCAGUGUGGAGCAUUAAGCAUGCACAUUGCGUGCAACAACAUCGACUGGGAUUUGGGAACGUUUUGCAAUUCAACAUCUCACUUAAUGAAUUCCGCCACUGCUUUAAAACUCGAAAAAGACGAAGAUAGGCGCGCCUGACAACGCUGAAGCUCUGCUGCUUGGACUGUGAGACUCUAUUAUGGCAAAUGGGCACUCUCAUGGCGCGAGUGGACAACGAAGAAUUUGUGCGUAAGUAGUUCACUUCUGUUAGGCUAUCCUGUUCAUACGUUCAGGUUCACUCCAACGUCGAGAGUUCUUGCACUGGCUUGUAUGUAAGUGAAUGGAAACAUUUAGGCCCACAAUGGACAAACAAACGUCGCUGUUUAUCGUGAAAUAAUACUGAAAAUCCGCUACUUUAUGAGUUGUAUGGGGAUCUUAUCAGUGCUGAGAGCAUCGGGAAACAAUCGGAUUUUUAAAAAAUAAUACGCGUCGCCAUUCUUGGGUUGCUGCUGAACCGUUAGGUGUGUGUUACAAUGAGUUUAGUUGGUGGAUUCCCUCACCAUCCGGUGAUGCAUCACGAUGGCUACUCUUUUGCUGCUGCGGCAGCUGCCAGCCGCUGUCAUGAAGAAAACCCGUACUUUCACGGUUGGCUCAUAAGCCACCCGGAGAUGUCGCCACCUGACUACAGUAUGGCACCCUCCUAUAGCCCCGACUACUCCGCCGGGCCGCCCGGACUGGACCACUCUCAUUACGGAAGUGUUCCUGGGGCUGGCUCCGUCGGAAUGGGACCCAGGCCAGUGAAGCGGAGACCCACGGCGAACCGCAAAGAGAGGCGCAGGACGCAGAGCAUCAACAGCGCUUUUGCAGAACUCAGGGAGUGCAUUCCCAAUGUACCCGCGGACACGAAGCUGUCUAAAAUCAAAACUCUCCGCUUGGCUACGAGCUAUAUUGCCUACCUCAUGGACAUUCUGGAUAAAGACGAGCAAAACGGGGAGGCAGAGGCCUUCAAAGCGGAAUUCAAAAAGACAGACGCAAAGGAAGACAGGCGAAAGAAAGAAAUGAGUGACAUUUUGAAAAGUUCAGGGAGCAGCAAUGACAAGAAAACCAAAGGACGAACUGGCUGGCCGCAGCACGUCUGGGCUUUGGAACUGAAACAGUGAAAAAAAAAAAAACUACCCAUAUCGCAGUCUUGAAGUGGCGUCCUUUAGACUUAAUUUGUACUCUCACUUUAUUUAACGGAAUAUUUAUGUGCAAUUUCCCGCAACGGAGAGUGGAUAUUUGAAGAAAACCAUUCCAUAAUAAGAGAAGGCGACCCCCUUGGCACUCCAGUACGCUGGCUCCCCAGACACUGACUCCUCUGCCGGAGAACCGGUGGCAUACCGGACGAAACUCAUAUAGCCGGGAUGAACAUCACAGUUGAAUGGUGGACAAAUCUACAUAACUCCGUCGCCUUGGAUGUCACUCUCAAGUCACAGCAGGAAGUACUGCCAUCUUGCUUACAGAUGGGACUGGUUUUGGAUAAUCCAUGGGCCAGACAUCACCAACCUACCUUUCCCCGAUGGCCCUGAUGCCGCUUGAAAUAAAGGGACACAAACCAGAGUAUCUGAGUUGGUUUUGAAAGUUUCAACCGGAAAUCCUCAAGGAGCAGAUUGAAAGGGUCUAUAAGGAGUAUGCUGACAACGUUAUUUUGUUGUUUGUGUCUACGUUAGUUUGGCAACAUUAAAUACAAAAGAACUGAAUGUCACACGUAUUUGCCUAUGUCAACAGGAGUGAUACCUGAGGCUUGUGACCUCCAUAUAUCUACUAUCCUAUAACAUUUGAAAGGUGGAAAACAGUAGCUCCUCUUAAGGUUACGCCAGCGGUCUAUCUUCAGAUAUAAACAACAGACUAUCAUAGAUGAGUAAAUGCUAUCAGUUGUAUGAAGUGAUGCAGACACCUCAAACCUCUGUGUUCCUUUUCUUCUGGAUGUAUGGAGCGGCAGUUUGGACACAUGGUAGGACAAGUGGCUCAUUAGUGGCGCAGGAUGGCGGAGAGGGGUGACUGUGUGCUCCCCCGGCUAGCUCCUGCUGUCAGUCAGUCCAGGCUUCUCUGGAUGGAGCAUCCGGGGCCAGGUUCCCCUCUCAUUCAUCAUGGGCAGUAAUGGAGAGUUUCUGGAGCGCCCUGUGGCUGCCUGUGUUAAACCACAGCGAUGACAGCCAUCCCCUUUCUCCCUCUCUUUCUUUCUGUGUCUCUGAGUUUAUCCCUGUUCCCCCAUUUCUCUCUCUCUCACUCACUUUCUCUCUCUGCCUCUUCUUACCAAGUUCCACCCUGUUGCACUUCUUAGGAGCUGAAAGAAUUACUUACAAAAUCCCAUGUAUAGAACUUCUCCUCCCUCACUUUCACACACCCUUCAUACACACACACACACACACACACACACACACACACACACACACACACAUUCACAUAUAUGAUUGCUUUCAUUUCACGCUCCAAAACCCUGGUUCCUCCAGAAAGCAAUUCCUUUGCACACAGCACAUAAGACACCCCUGAACUGUCACCAGAGAUGAUUUAUGAGCACACAUACAUAUUUUUUUUGUCUGGCAUACUUCCUGGUUUUAAUUAACUAGAUGAACACGUUAUUUUCAUGCUCUUUUAAAUAUUACAAUCGUGAAUAGUAACUCACCUUGAGUUCAUAGGAGAUGAAAGCAUGCUUCUUACAGUCUAUUCAGCUGCAUCCCUGGCUGACCUUUGACCCCCAUGAUACCCACUUAUGUCCAUGACCCAAAGUGCAGAUCUGAGCUACCAGACAUUUGUCUCAAGCCUUUUCAAUGAGUCAGCCUUAACAGGUUAAGCCCACAUAAUACCACAUGGUAUAUUUUUUGUUCUUGCUUAUUGAGAUCAAAAGGGGCUGCCUGCUGCACCAAGGACUGCCCAAUCAUUUGUCUCACGAGUGUCACGUUCCUUCUAACGAAAAUAGCAUUCCAGCGUCACACAUGUUCCAUGGCCUGUUUCCUAGUCCGUCCAUCCAACCCCAACCACACCGCCACCACCACCACCCAAUUUACCCCUCUUUGGUGAUGCUGGAAAAUCUGAAACAUACUUUCUUAAUUGUGAAACGUGAUGUAAGAGUAAAACAAUAUGUUGUGUCAGGGCCUCGUUUCCCAAUGACGAUUAAUAGCAGUUAGGCCUAUGUCAAAACAUACGUGAACUAAUACGCCAUGCUCAAGUGCUAGCUUAACGGAGCUGUCCAUGUAAACGGUGCUGAAAUAUAACCUAAUUUGGCGUUAUCAAGAUGACGCAACAUCUGCCUUUGAUGUGACCUAUAGGCAACAUGCUAAUUGAGUUAAAGGCGAAAUCUGCAUGUUGACGAAUAGUUUAAAUGUUUCCAGAGUUGGCAUCUCUCUCUCGUUCUCUCUCUCAAGGUUGAAUUGUUCGAAACCGUUGAAAGCAUAGCAUAGCCUACUCUUGCAGAAUUUAUUCACCAAUCUCGUCCACUUUCUGCGUCAACUUGUGAGCUGAGUGUUGGCUACAGUAUAAUAUCUGCCUUAUUCACCAUAUUUGCCAGUGUCGUCAUAUUUCAGUGAACUAAUAAAUAUAUUUUUUAAAGAUAAAAGAUUAUCGACUGGUCUACAACAAAACAUAAUAGUUAAGACCUAGGAGGAGAAUGUCGGCUACUGUUGCAUUAUUGUGAGGUGUAAUUACCUUCUAUGUCCUGUUGGUGACCCCGGGUGAAAACAUCCUGUGUUAUGAAGCUCUAGCCAUCUACUUCCGAACACGCGUAGGCUAAAUAUCUAGUUUUGAAGUUAGCUAUUAAGUUAUUCGGGAAACGUUUCGAAAUUGUUAGAUGGUUCAUAAGAGAUUCCUCUUUUAAUUGGCGCUUUAAUUGGUGCUUUUUGGGGAAACCCGAUCAGAAGUCCUUGUUUUUAUAAAAUAUGGACUUCGAGUUACCGUCCAAGCCUCACGUUUUACAAAGUGUCAAGUUUUACAA